AACGAACGCUGGCGGCAUGCCUAACACAUGCAAGUCGAACGAGAGCUUCGGCUCUAGUGGCGCACGGGUGCGUAACGCGUGGGAAUCUGCCCUUGGGUUCGGAAUAACAGUUGGAAACGACUGCUAAUACCGGAUGAUGACGUAAGUCCAAAGAUUUAUCGCCCUGGGAUGAGCCCGCGUCGGAUUAGCUAGUUGGUGGGGUAAAGGCCUACCAAGGCGACGACCCGUAGCUGGUCUGAGAGGAUGAUCAGCCACACUGGGACUGAGACACGGCCCAGAAUCCUACGGGAGGCAGCGGUGGGGAAUAUGGGACAAUGGGCGCAAGCCUGAUCCAGCAAUGCCGCGUGAGUGAUGAAGGCCUUAGGGUUGUAAAGCUCUUUUACCCGGGAAGAUAAAGACAGUAUCUGGGGAAUAAGCCCCGGCUAACUCCGUGCCAGCCGCCGCCGUAA
rnacentral:rRNA from 1 species